rnacentral:rRNA from 1 species
UACGUAGGUGGCAAGCGUUGUCCGGAUUUAUUGGGUUUAAAGGGUGCGUAGGCGGUCCUAUAAGUCAGUGCUGAAAUAUCCCGGCUUAACCGGGAGGGUGGCAUUGAUACUGCAGGACUUGAGUAAAGUUGAGGUAGGCGGAAUGUGUCAUGUAGCGGUGAAAUGCUUAGAUAUGACACAGAACACCGAUUGCGAAGGCAGCUCACUAAACUGUAACUGACGCUGAGGCACGAAAGCGUGGGGAGCAAACAGG